rnacentral:tRNA from 1 species
GGUCUUAUAUUCAUGGAAUGAUAUUAGAAUGCAAUUCUAAAGGUGUAGUUAUACUAAGACUU